AGCCGUCUUAGCUCAGUGGUAGAGCGCGUGGCUUUUAACCACGUGGUCGUGGUUCGAUCCCCACAGACGGCGACG
rnacentral:tRNA from 1 species